UGCCCAAGAGACUGGGAUAACACCUGGAAACAGAUGCUAAUACCGGAUAACAACACUAGACGCAUGUCUAGAGUUUAAAAGAUGGUUCUGCUAUCACUCUUGGAUGGACCUGCGGUGCAUUAGCUAGUUGGUAAGGCAACGGCUUACCAAGGCAAUGAUGCAUAGCCGAGUUGAGAGACUGAUCGGCCACAUUGGGACUGAGACACGGUCCAAACUCCUACGGGAGGCAGCAGCU
rnacentral:rRNA from 1 species